UCCUACAGUCAUGCCACCCUGAAUGAGCCUGAUCCCCUCUGAUCUCUGAAGCUAAGCAGGUCGGGCCUGGUUAGUGCUUGGAUGGAAGACCACCUACGAAGACCAGAUGCUGUAGGCG
ensembl:rRNA 5S_rRNA 5S ribosomal RNA